AAAUGCGAUAAGUAAUGUGCAUUGCAGAAUUCAGUGAAUCAUCGAAUCUUUGAACGCACAUUGCGCCCGCCAGAAUUCUGGCGGGCAUGCCUGUUCGAGCGUCAUUUCAACCCUCGAGCUCCCCUUUCGGGGGGAGCCCGGCGUUGGGGACCCGGCGCUAACAACGCCGGCCCCGAAAUGGAGUGGCGGCCCGUCCGCGGCGACCUCUGCGUAGUAACAACCACUCGCACCGGGACCCGGGCGCGGCCACGCCGUAAAACACCCCACCUUCCGAAUGUUGACCUCGAAUCAGGUAGAAAUACCCGCUGAACUUAAGC
rnacentral:misc_RNA from 1 species